AAUAGCGACACGGGGUGUCCCGACCAAGUCGGGGCUGAGACGACACCCGUAGAACCUGAUUCAGUUCACACUGGCGGAGGGAUGUUCGCGACGCGGCAG
rnacentral:ncRNA from 1 species